UUAAGGUCUAAGGUUUGAUUAGGAUUUGAUUUAGAAUUUGGUUAGGAUUAGGAUUUGCUUAAGGUUUGGUUUAGAAUUUAUUUAGAAUUUUUCUAGAGUUUAAGAUUUCAUUGAAAUUUCAUUAGGAUUUGACUUAGAAUUUGGUUAAGAUUAAAUUAGGAUUUUAAUUAGGAUUUGACUUAAGAUUUGGUUAAGAAUCAACUAGGAUUUUAAUUAGGAUUUGACCUAAAAAUUGAUUAAGAUUCAAUUAGGAUUUUAAUUAAAAUUACAUUCAAAUUUCUAUUUUUAAUAUUUCUUUAAGAUUCUUUAUAUUUUUUUGACUUCUUUUAAAUUUAUUUUGAUAGGUUAAAGUUUUUUUGGAUUAUUAGGAAUUAUUUAAAGUUUAUUUAAGGCUUUAUUAGACUUAGUAGAAUUAUUGUUGCAUUGUUAUCUGUCUUCCACAAUAAGAUGUCUAGUGAAAUUUCAAGCAAGAAUAUAUGUAAUAUGAUAUAUUUGAUGAACUUAAAGUAAAAAGCUUGA
rnacentral:lncRNA from 1 species